rnacentral:misc_RNA from 1 species
UUGGUGUUUCUUGCUAGAUGAAUUUUUUAUAUAACAACACAAAACGAUCAAGAAUAGCCUGCCAGUGAAGUGUCGACCCAAACCCUUGUUCAAAUACAACUUAAGAAAAUUGGAACGUCCUGUUGGAAUUAAAACUAACCAAUACAACGCACCUGUGCGCUACACGUUGCAAUCUAUUCCGGUGGUAGUUUUGGGGUCAUUAUAAAGGGUAAACAAAACAUCAUGUGUUAUCUUCGCUUCACGUUGAAGUGGUGCUUUGCUGUAUGUCUUCUAGCAUACUAGAUAACGACACUGGUGGAUUUAUUAUCAAACAGGCAGAAUUUUUAUCUCACAAAAUAAACAGUUUUGUUGGCCUAACUGAAUCUUCUCUACCUGUAACAAGAUUGGAUAACGGUGUUGCACCUUAAUGCAGUGUUAAACAGUGAAUGUGUGUGAUUCUAUUUGAAUGAUUUGAGACUUCCAAACCAGGGAAAUGGUUUUACUUCUAUACCUUUGAUCUUACAGAAUUCUGGGUUUUCUACUUACACAAAACCUCUAGGUGGUGAAUGUAUGUGAUUCUGUUUGAAUGAUUUGAGUCUUCCAAACCUGGGAAUCUUUUAGUACUUUCAUGACCUUGGUUUUCGAUCGUCAAAAUACAUAAACUCUGCAAGUUGUGGAUGUGUGUGAUUAUAAUUGAAUCUACCAAUCCAGGGCAUCUUUAGUACAUUCAAACGCUGACUGUACUGAACUGGUUCUUGACCGUGAAAAUAUAUCAAAUCUGCAAGUAACAGAUAUAUGGAUGUGCGCGGGCAUGGUCUAAGAACAGUAAUUAAUCGAGUGAGAGAUAACUCUGAAAUAGCACAAAUGUCGCUGACAUUCCGGUACUACACGAGAGGAUUGCAUUAAAUGAGUUUUUAUGUUCAUUGUAAUAAUUCAAAUUGUUUGUGAGCAUAUCUAGAUUCUGGAAUCUGAAAUCUGGAGGAACCGAAUUCAACCCACUGACUGGUGAUAUCGGGUGUGUGUCGUCUGCGGUAUAGUGAUAUCACAAUAGAAAGGUGAAUGUCGCAGAUUGAAGACCAUCACUUUCAGUGAGGAUAUAACUCUGAUUUUAACCACUGAAACAGUUUUCUGGAUUAACAUGAGAAAAGGGUGAUGAUAUUUCAUGAAGUGUUGCAAAGGAUCUAAAAGUUUCGAAAACUCACAUUGUUGAUUUUGCUUUCCUGCAAGGAACUAGAUAGAUUAAUCGUUGACUUGGUGUUAAUUGAGUGGAAGAUAACUCUAAAAUAGCACAGAUGGCGCUGUCAGUCCGGUACUACACUAAGUCGGAUACGGAUUCAGCUCUGUACGUUUCGAUCUCAGUGCCGACGGAUGAAGAGUCUGGGGCAGAAACCGACAACACGUACGAAUCCAUCAAAUCAUGGGCUCUGUCAGAUCAGAUAGCCACGCCCGGAUCGGAAUCUAAUCAUGACUCGAGUUCGGGAAUUGCAUCCGACAUCGCGAGUUACAAUUAUCCACCCACCGCCAUGACGACAUUCAAAGGGAGUGCGCACUCUGACCGCCAUUCAAGCGACUCGUGUAAAUCGAAGACUGUAUCGUUCGCUAGCUCGACCGAUUCCAAAUCAUCCAACUACUACGUCCAGAUGCACACCAAACAGAGAGUCCGACACCACCCUCCAUCUCCCGUGGUGUCGAAAUCGGAACGCGCGACGCAUCUCUACAAAAACACUGUCUAUGACCCGCGAUACAUCGAGUCUCAGAUGGACGCGAUGAAGUCGAAGAUGAAAUACAUGGAUCUUCAAGACACGGACAAACUGAUGUGGACGGCGAAAGGAAAAUAUCCAUACGUCCGUCCGUCACCCUUUGAACUUCUCACCGACGACAUUGUUCUUCGGAUUCUGUCGAACCUGCCCACGGACCAUCUGUGUCGGAGUUCCCGCGUCUGUCUGCGCUGGUACCGACUGAUUUGGGAGCACCCGUUGUUGUGGACGAGCAUCGUGAUAAACAAUGACUCAGUGAAUAUCGACAAGGCGUUGAAAUACCUGAUGCGCCGACUGAGUUACAACACGCCCAAGGUUUGUGUGAUUCUCGAGCGGAUGAACCUGAACGGGUGUCACCAGCUCACGGACAAGGGGUUGAGGGUGAUCGCAAGGCGGUGCCCCGAGCUGAGGUACCUCGAGUUGAAGGGGUGCUUCAACGUCACGAACGUUGCGCUGUUUGACGUCGUGUCGAGUUGUGUUAAUCUGGAACAUCUUGAUGUCACAGGCUGUCCCCUUGUCACCUGCAUCAGUCUGACAGACAAACUGCUAUCGGAGAGCACAUCCCACAACCAGCACCAGAUCUAUCUCCGGUAUCUCGACAUGAGCGACUGCGCCGCGCUGGAAGAUGUCGGCCUCGGGGUGAUCACGUCGCAUUGCAGUCAGCUCCAGUUCCUCUACCUUCGCCGCUGCAUGCGCAUCACCGACACCGGCAUUCGACACAUCGCCCACAACUGCCUCUACCUUAGAGAGUUCAGCGUCAGCGACUGCAAGAGAGUUACGGACCUUGGCUUGUGGGAGCUGUCGAAACUGGGCGACCACUUGCGCUACCUUAGCGUGGCGAAGUGCGACAAGGUUUCGGACGUUGGGGUCAUGUACGUGGCUAAACACUGUGCGAAAUUGCGUUACCUGAAUGUUCGCGGCUGUGAAGCUGUUUCGGACGAAUCUUUGGAGUAUAUUUCGUGUAACUGUCCCAGACUGCGAUCGCUGGACGUAGGAAAGUGUGACAUAACCGACGAGGGGCUGCAGUUGUUGGCCGAAAACUGUCCUCAGUUGAGGAAACUCAGUGUGAAGUCGUGCGAGGGAAUCACGGACAAAGGGAUCGCGAUUGUCGCCUAUCAUUGCCGCGGCCUAGCCCAGCUCAACAUUCAGGACUGCGAUCUAUCGGUGGAAACGUACAGGACAGUGAAAAAAUACUGCAGGGGUUGUAUCAUAGAACACACAAAUCCUGCGUUUUAGAAUCUAUGGUGGUUACAUACCCGGAUGGCUAAAAAAAUACUGCAGGGGUUGUAUCAUAGAACACACAAAUCCUGUUUUUUAGCAUCUAUGGUGGUUGCGUACCCGGACGGCUAAAAAAAUACUGCAGGGGUUGUAUCAUAGAACACACAAAUCCUGUUUCUUAGCAUCUAUGGUGGUUACGUACCCGGAUGGCUAAAAUAAUACUGCAGGGGUUGUAUCAUAGAACACACAAAUUCUGCGUUUUAGAAUCUUACAGUAUCCGAUUCUCAGCCACGUUUACAUUUGGAACUAUAGUUAUCAUUAUCAGCAAGGGGAUUGAUCACCCUGAAUGUAACUGAUAUAUCAUAGAGCACACAAAUUGUUAGAAUCUUAUACAGGGGCCUAGCAUGGGAUUUCCAGGUGGUAUGCAGACUUUUUCGGUGAUGGAAUAAAACGCUAUUGGCAUUGAGCAUACACACAUUUACAUCAUAUAUUUUAAUAAUUAAAAAAAAUAUUUGUAAUCUUACAGGUGGUAUGCAGCUGCGUACCUGUGUAUAUGGAAGCUAGACCCCUGUUAUAUUGGCAUACCUUUAUCUCAUGCUCAGCCAUGUGUACAUUUGAUAACCAUGGUUCUCUCCCCUUAUCAGUGAGCCGCUUCCAGGAUGCAGCUCAGUGGAAGAGCACAUGCCUGAAAUAUGAUGCAUCAUGGGAUUGAUCACCCGGAAUGUACAGCCAAUGGUUUUGGGGAUCCCCCCCCCCCCCCAUCCCAUCAAAUAUUCCAUACAGACUAGCUCAUACUAUCUAAUCAAGUGUUCCAUGUGGACUGGCUUAUACUUUUGUGGGUUAACCCCACCCCCUAUAUCCAGUGGCAGAUCCAGAAAAUCCAUUUGGGGGGGGGGGGGGGAGGGGGUACAAUGACAUGAGGCAGAAUGCCAAGGGAACUUUGGGGAGGGUGAAAAUUAAAAUAUAAUAAAAUUAUAACUGUCGCAAAAUUUAGGGGGUGGGCCCGGGCACCUGGGCCCCCCUAGAUCUGCCUCUAAUAUAUUCCUUGACUGGUACAUCAAUGAGUGGAAUAACGAGUGGACAGAGGAGAAAUAAGGAGUGUGUUUUAGCCCCUAGGGAUGUGUUUGCCAUUUAUUAAAUUGACAGAUAUGAAACAUUCCAGACUCCAGUGCUAUCUGAAAACUGUUCCUGCCCAUGUUCUUGGAUAAAAAACUCGCAACAACUUCCACUUGUUUAUUUCUCAAUGUUAUGUCGCUUUUUUAUAUUUGCUUCUUCUGGGUUUUUUUAAUCUGCAAAUCAACCUCCAGACAGUGUUAGGGGGUCGUUCAAAUAUUACAUUGACAGACAGAAUAGUUUUGUAAAUGCCAAAUUUCUAGGGGUUAAACUCUGUGCAAAUCCACUACAGUCAAUCCAGUGGUGCUGCGAGGGUAGUGGCCAUGGGGGCCACACCCUCCCCCCACACCCAUCAAAUAUUUUUCUUUUAAACUUACAUUUUAUAAAAUCAUGCAUACAUAAAUAUUGUGGGUGCCCCCCCCCCCCCCCUCCACCCCCCUACAUAAAAUCCUGUGAAUUAACAGCAAGUAUUCAACCUUUCACAAAUAAAAUAAAUGACGGAGAUAGUACCAGUAGAUUUUUGACAAAAUGCAGAUAUUAGUGUAAUUAAACUAAUUUAGUUUGGGUUUUUCCCUCUCUACGAAAUAAAGGUUUAGAGCAAAACGACCGGCACACAAGUUUAAAGGUAUGUGGACUUCUUUCAACAUUGUGUGGUACUCCUAGUUGCCUGCUUUCCAUUCAAGCAAUUUCGCACACAUUUCCGCGAGAAAAUUUAUCGAUUAUUCAAUUACAUGGGACCUUUUCCACAUAUGCGAUUCCUAGCACAGGCAUUCAGUGCAUUGGGAAAUAAAAUAGUUUUUCAGCAUGCUUAUGUCAUAAUGUGAAGAAUUUACUUUCGACUUAACUACACAGAGUUGUGUGUGGGUAAUUUUUGGCAUGCUUCCAUCAGGGAACUGUUCAAGUACGUCUGUCCUAGGCACAGCCUCCGACUUCGCCAGAGAGGGUUGUCCAUGUCAGGUAAAGUACACUUCGAAUUUGUAGUUGAAAUAUACUGAUAAAUAAAUUUCACAAUCCUAGAUGUUAAGAAAUGAUAAUUUCAAGAAGGAAAUUGAAACAAAUUCUAACCACCAAUACCAUAGUGUUGUUAGAUUCCAACCACCAAUACCAUAGUGUUGUUAGAUUCCAACCACCAAUACCAUAGUGUUGUUAGAUUCCAACCACCAAUACCACAGUGUUGUUAGAUUCUAACCACCAAUACCACAGUGUUGUUAGAUUCUAACCACCAAUACCAUAGUGUUGUUAGAACACCACAUACCUUAAAUGUGUUCCACUGUAGAUAACGAUGUAUGUACAUAAUGGCAAAUUCAUGUACAUGAAAAUAAAAUAUUUAUAUCAAG